GGGAGUUGGGGAAGGAGGUUGCAGCAGCAGCUGCUCCUGCUCCUGUGCAUCGGUGCCUCCUCCGCCCGCUCGCUGAAGCACCGUGCUCUGCUCUGCUCUCCGAGGUCGGAGGUGCCGCCGCUGCCGUCCCCGGGUACAAGCUGGAGCCACGCUCUCCUUCGUGGACUGUCGGGAAAGGUGGCUGUGUCCGGGAAGCGACUUAGCGCAAGGUAAUUCUCUAAUGGACCAAUGAAAGCCAACGAUGACAAGUUGUGGUCAACAGUCCUUGAAUGUGCUGAUGGUUCUGCUCUCAUUACUCUUGUCAGCAGUGUUGUCUGCACAUUUUCGGGUCUGCGAGCCAUACACGGACUACAAAGGUCGCUACCACUUUGGUUUUCACUGCCCCCGUCUUUCUGACAAUAAAUCUUACAUCUUUUGCUGUCACCAUAACAACACAGUGUUUAAAUAUUGCUGCAAUGAGACAGAAUUUCAGACUGUUAUGCAGAUGAACUUAACAGGGAAUGCAGAUGGAUAUAUGCAUAACAACUACAGUGCACUGUUAGGAGUGUGGAUCUAUGGCUUUUUUGUGGUGAUCUUACUGAUACUGGACCUUUUAUAUUACUCUUCAAUGAACUAUGAUAUUUGCAAAUUCUACCUGGCCCGCUGGGGAAUCCAGGGAAAGUGGAUGACACAGGGACAGAGCCGAUGGAUUAACCCUGCUCAGGACCCAGGACAGACACAGCCUCAGCCAGAGACACAGCCUCAAACUCAGCCCCAGCCUCGAACAUCACAGACAGUACACACUUUAAAAGGAGAUGUUUUAAGCCCACCCCUGGUGUCUUUUCAGAGUACAUCUGCCUGAACAGUGUUCAGGAGUAUCAACCAAUUCAGGAACUACCAAAUGAAAAACACUGUUACUAAUUGAAAAAUACUUGACUUUCAGGAGCAUAGAAUUACUUCAGAAACCUUAUUUACAAAAAUUAUAUUGAUGUGCCUCAAGAUGGGAGAGGUAAGACCAGACUUCAAGGAGCAGCUUUCAAGGAAACCAAUUAAAUUACAAGAGCUGAAAAAACUAUAGAUAAGCAGGAAAGACUACAAAGACGAAGACUGAGCAAGUCACCUGAAGACAGACACCAUUCAAACAACUUCUACAGGCAAAUUAUAUAGAAAGAGUCUCCGGGAGAAAGUAGUCUGUAAGCAAUAUUUUAAUUCUAGACUGACACUAUUAUCUCUUAAAGGAAGCAUCAUAUUUGCAAAAAUGCUCAGUAGGAAGAAAAUUAAGUUGCUCUGGCAAAUCCACACAAAGGUGGAAAACAACCACAAGACAAACCUUUGGUAGAUAACUUUUCUUUGCCUCCCCAUCCAUCAAUUGCCAUUUGAGCCUAAUCUCAGCCUAAGUGUCAGAAUCCUGAAUGUGAGUUUUUCCAAAGUUCUCUGGUGAACAUUUUGUCACUGUAGGGUAGCUGCUGGCAAUCCACAUCACUGUUCACCAUAUUGUCCUAUGCAUUGCUAAGGUAAGCAGAGUCCUUUCAUUGAGUCAGACUGCAGGGUAGCAAUCAUAACAUACAUUUCUACAUCGCUGACAAUGAUUCUGCUAAGACAUCUGAGACCAUCUUAAAUACAGGUUCUUGAAGAGGCAAACUUUAUUAGGAUGCAAUACCUUUCCACCCCCAUACUCCUUGAAGCUGAAAGAAACAGAAAAGACCCAACAAACUGUAUAUUUCAAAAACAAUAAUACCACUGUCCCCCUGCUUUACAAGGCAGUAGUCCAGUUCCCUCAGCCACUGACUGGCUGCAGAGCUUACCCCACACAAGUCUCAGAAUCCAUUUGUAAGCCAGAAAGGCAAUGACUGCCAGAGAAGUAUGUGGAGCACUUGAUCACUGGGUUGCAAUAGGUUGAUGUAACUCUCCACAGGAUGGGAUUAUUUUAAAAUCAUACAGUAUCAAUUACAUGAAAAAAUCCUGUGACAUUCAGUUAUUUAAGAUAUUUGCAUGGAGAACCUGGCAAUGACAAGCAAACAGAGGAGUUCAUCUGGAAAUCAUAACACAAAGCCAUGAUAAUGCCAAUUUCAUGCUUCAUGUCUAACAUUUUGUCCUGCAAAUCUCAGUAACUUUAAAGUAACCAUAUAUUUUACCAUGUAACCACAACAUGAGGAACACCUUGCUAAUGAAUAAUCAAAUGUUCCUUUUGUACCUCUUUGGCUGAAUGAAUUUUAGUCUUCUGUUGAAGUCAAAGGGGACACUUUUCUCAGUGAUUUGAGUUACUUCAUGGCUACUGGAGUUCAGGAUGGUACACGACUAAAACCAUGAAGGAAUAGACAAUGUUGGAGUACCCAACAAGGAUGGAAACCACAGGAGUGGAAGCCCAGUCUUCAAAUAAAGCCCAGUCUGAGUAGGAUACCAACAUGCACUUGCCCCUUUUCUCUGUAAACCAACAGCUAAACAUGCUAGGUACCAGUGAGUCAGGGCAGGCAGUACCUAAAAGAACAAAUUCACAGGUGGGUGUGCCACGCUGCAGGCAUUAAACUCCAUCCUGUCCCAGGAAAGCUUGAAGCCUGGCCCACUCUCACUCACCACAGAAGCUCCUGCCCACCCCCUCAGCUUGCAGAUACCUACAGGAGCUGCCACAGUGCACCUGGGGUGUUACACCUGUGUUACACCUUAACAACUCUCCAAGAAAAGAAACUGAGUAGCUGGAGGUAAUGCCAUCCAUGCCAACAUCAUGCCCCCUCCCUGUUACCGCUGAAGAUGAAUAGAUCACACGGACACAGGUCGAGGUGUGGUGAAAGAAAGAGCAGAGUUUAUUUUACCUCCCAAGAUUUAUAGGUUUCUGACCAUGGCCAGGGAUUGGAUGGUCAGGCUAACACUUUCUCACUGCACUGGCCAUGAGAGAUGCCCAUCACAAGAUGUGUAACAGAAAGAAUGUACACAUAUCUAUGUUUACAGUUACUGUCCUGGGAAAGUCUUUAGAGAACUAUGUCAAUAAGCUCAGAAGCUGAGUUGUCAGGGCGACAUCUCACCCUUUUUGUGUUAACAAAAAGAAAAGAAAAAAGAAAAAAUUAACAAAGAAACUAGCAACAUUAUAAACAAUCAAAAGGAUAAAUAACAGGAAAAUACAAUACUCCAUACAAUCAGAAGGCUGUAAUUUCAGGGUGAUACCUCCCCACUUCCUCCUUGGCUCCAAGAUCCAUAACCACUGCAGACACCCAAAAAAGUAUCCACAGUAGAUACUUUUUGUAGUGCUCUGCAGUAACUGCUUGGGUUUUUUACCUUCUCCCAGCACCUACUUUCAGUGUGAAGUGAUGACUGCCACAGAGAGCUUUGGAAAAAGCUUAUGUUCAUAAAGGAAUUUGUAUUAAAUACUGGUUUGUGUGACUUACUGUAUUUUGUAAGGGUUUUUUUCCCUUUGGGAAUUGUGCGUUAUUAAUGAGCAGUUUUAUGCUUUACUUCUAGCACAUGUAUACCUUGUAAUGGAUGUGCAUUUUGUUUGUUUGUUUUCUUUUACUCUCUAUACAGAGCCAGUUAAUAUAAGGUAUAUUAUUCUCUGGCUGAAAUUCUGAUUUUGCCUACCAGUUAAUUUAUGGAUAAAUCAUGUAGCUGGUGAACUAUUUUUCAUCAAUUGUGUUGUUUUAAUCAUCUGAGAGCCUCUCUAGCAGAAUAAAAGAUCCUGAAUAAGACUAAUGCUAGUUGGGCCUUAAAUUAAAGGGAAAUAAUUCAUUAAAUAAAAGGAAAAUUAUGUAUUUCCCUACCACCAUUUCUAUCAGCCCUUCUUCCUUGGUGUUGGGACACUGGAGAAGAGCACUGGCUACACAAACAGCCACCUGAACACCUCAGCCACCUCUGUAGCUGUGUUCUGAUGUCCCCCUUCAUUUACUUAAUCAAAAUAAUGAUAGACCAGACAAACUGCAAUGAAUUUUUCAGUUAUUUCUGCAGAGAGACUGGUUCAAAUGCAAUUCUUCUCUAAAAGAAAUUAUCUGGACUAAAAUAAUUGUAUUUUCCUCUAUGUCCAUCCUGAUAUGUUUGGAAAAAUAACAGAACUUAAAUUAACACUUACAAAAGUACAUACAUUAUACCCCUAUGUGACAAUGGCAGCUGUCUCUCUCAGUGGCUAUUAGUGACCUUCCUGCUCCAGAAGCCUCUUCCCUUGUCCAAAUAAUUUCCUCUCUUCUGUUUCACUGAGAACUGUGUCCAACUUCUUAGUAAUUGUUGUGUAUAAUGUAGGACAUAAAAAGAUAAGUUAAAAAGCUUGUGCAGGACUUGGUGUUGUAAUUUAACCAUCUUUCGUGCCUGGUUAUGGAUUUUACAAAAAACAGAGUGAAAAUAAUCUGGCCUCUUAAUGUAUAAUUCAGCAUAUUGUAGCAGCUAUUUUAGACACCUGUUUUUUAUAGUUUUACUAUGGCUGUAAUUUCUGUAUGAGGACUGUCCACUUGAAGAAGUGGCGUCAAAAUGAUUUUUUUAAAGCCAGUUCUAUGCCAUCUGUGAUUGUGUAUGAAAAGUAAAGCAACAAAAACAAAACCUCAACCACUGGCCGGGAAGAAACACCUUUUCUCAGCCUCAAAAGUUCUCUUCUAUAAGACAGGCAUUUCUUCUAGUCCUUCUUUUACAAAAGUAGUAAAUUACUAAGAAGAUAAUAUAUAUACAGUGCAAUAGUCUAUUUUGAUAGUCAGCUGACUAUUUUAGGCUAACUAAGCUAACUAGAAAUUCUAGGGUUGCAGUGAUUUCUCUUUAUUGAUACAUUGAUGAUAAUACUGUUUACAUAACACUUGAUGUUUGAAAUCAAUAUGUGCCAGUGUCCAGUGAUUUGCUAAUCUAGUUUCUGGUCUAAUUCUGUCCUAUUUUUUGCAGCAUUCUCUGACUUCAUAUUAUGAAUCAUGUUGUCUUUCUAAAGUGAUUGCCAAGUAAACCAAAAAUGUGUUUUACACUGCUAUUGCACUGCUCUCGUCUUUAUAUACAGUAGUUUUUAUAAACAUGUCCUUAGGUUUUAAUAAAUGAGUGUAACAUAAACUAAUCUCUGUAAUAAAACUUGCUUUAGUGUUUCAAA